GAUGAACGCUGGCGGCGUGCUUAACACAUGCAAGUCGAACGAAGACAUCUGAGUGCUUGCACUUGGAUGGACUGAGUGGCGGACGGGUGAGUAACGCGUGGGUAACCUGCCUUAUACAGGGGGAUAACAGUUGGAAACGACUGCUAAUACCGCAUAAGCGCACGGUAUCGCAUGAUACAGUGUGAAAAACUCCGGUGGUAUAAGAUGGACCCGCGUCUGAUUAGCUAGUUGGUGAGGUAACGGCCCACCAAGGCGACGAUCAGUAGCCGGCCUGAGAGGGUGAACGGCCACAUUGGGGCUGAGACACGGCCCAAACUCCUACGGGAGGCAGCAGUGGGGAAUAUUGCACAAUGGGGGAAACCCUGAUGCAGCGACGCCGCGUGAGUGAUGAAGUAUUUCGGUAUGUAAAACUCUAUCAGCAGGGAAGAUAAUGACGGUACCUGACUAAGAAGCACCGGCUAA
rnacentral:rRNA from 1 species